rnacentral:misc_RNA from 1 species
UCCGGUUUGACACCGGCAGUCCCGUUAGAGUGCCCAGCUUUACCUGAUGGCAACUAACGGCAAGGGUUGCGCUCGUUGCGGGACUUAACCCAACAUCUCACGACACGAGCUGACGACAGCCAUGCAGCACCUGUUUUCCGGGCCCCGAAGGGCACCCCCGUAUUUCUACAGGGUUCCGUCAAUGUCAAGUCUGGGUAAGGUUCUUCGCGUUGCGUCGAAUUGAACCACAUGCUCCACCGCUUGUGCGGGCCCCCGUCAAUUCCUUUGAGUUUCAGCCUUGCGGCCGUACUCCCCAGGCGGGGCACUUAAUGCGUUAGCUCCGACACCGAAUGCGUCUAUACACCCGGCAUCUAGUGCCCAUCGUUUACGGCGUGGACUAC